CGCCACCACCACUUGGAUAUUUGGUAAGCGCAUGAAUGGUUAAAUCCACUGAUAAAUGCUCAUCGGAAAAAUCAAAAGCAUUAAAGGCGAGGCCAGCUCCCCAAGUAUUAUCUAGUGCAGUUAAAACGCCAUGUGCUUUUGCUUUUUUUACUAGCGCUUUGAGAUCUGGAAAUUCAAGAGUGACAGAACCUGCUGCUUCUAACCAUAGCAACUUGGUUUUAUCAGAAGGCUGGAAACUUGAGACAUCGAUCGGGUUAUAAACUUGAACAUUAAUUCCAUAUUGAUCUUUUAAGUAGUUUAGGUGUUCCAGAUUCGGACCAUAUAUGUUGUCUGGCACCCAAACUUCAUCACCUGUUGCUAGCACAGCAGAAUUUACGAGAUUAAUCGCAGAUAACCCGCUUGGAGCAAGUAGGCAGUAUAAACCACCCUCAACUUGAGCAAUAUUAUCGCCUAGUGUGAAUGUCGUAGGCGUACCGUGGGUGCCAUAACUAUAGUCAUAAGGAUCGGUCCAAUGACGGUCAAAAAGGUGCGAAGUUGAUUUAAAAAUAAUAGUUGAUGCACGAAAUAAGGGAGGUUGCACGGUUUCAAUAAAUUGAGGUGCUUUUCGUGGUGCAUGAAUGAGUUGGGUUUGGAAAUUGUUAUGCUUUUUCAUGGGGCGCUAUACUUUACAUAAUGAGAUUAGAUUAAGAGAAAACUUACUUAACUGCUAGAUUUUUGAUUAUUUCUAAGAUGUUUCGUUACUAGUGUAACAUUCAUUAAAACUUGGCUUUAUUUUUGCAAAGAUCAAACCAACAUUCUAACAACAAUAGGUUUAAGCGCAUGAAGUCGCAUUUACGUGUUCACUAUUUUCAACAUAUUGCUGGCGAAGGUUUUGGAAGCUGCUAUUCAUUCUUAAAAGCACACCAUGCAACGAUAACAGCUACAGAGUUUUUUGCACUUCCAGUUGAUCUCCCUUUGGAAAUAGAAGCAUUGCCACAUAUUGAAGAUGUGGAUUUGCUACUUAUUAUGGGGGGAACUAUGAGUGUAAAUGAUGAGGCAAAUUAUCCAUGGUUAAAAAUAGAAAAAAGAUGGAUACGUCGUUAUUUGGCGGCGGGAAAGCCUGCGAUAGGACUUUGUCUCGGAGGCCAACUUAUUGCCAAUGCACUAGGAGCCGCCGUUAGUAGAAACCGUUAUCAAGAAUUGGGAUGGUCGACCGUACAAAGGGUGCCGAAUUUACCUAAAGAAAGCUUUUUAUUACCAGAAAAAAUAAAUGUAAUGCAGUGGCAUAGUGAAACUUUUGAGAUUCCUAAAGGUGCGAUUCAUUUAGCAGAGAACUCAGUUUGUCGUAACCAGAUGUACCAAAUUGGUUCAAAUGUUCUUGGUUUUCAAUUUCAUCCAGAAAUGACACCGAAGGUAUUAAAUCUUCUUUUAGAGAACGAACAAGAGCUUUCUAUUUUUAAAGGUGAGUAUGUUCAAUCUUUAGAUGAACUACAUCAUUGCGACAUCCAAAAGUUUGAACAAGGCAAUCAACUUUUAAACAGGGCAAUAGAGUUCGUGGUCAAUCAAUAAAAAUAUAGAGUUGAUGAGAAAAAGGAUGAAUUGAGCAGAAAAUAGAAAAAGAGAAUUGCAUAAGACUUAAACAAUCGUUAUAAUAAGCGACCCUCAAGAAGAGGGCAUUUACUGCGAAGAAAGUAGUAAAUGUGCAUUACAGUCGUGGCAUCGAUCACGACCUUGGUGAUUAUCACUGCCUUUGACACUUACCAGAUAGGUGAGAUGCGUCAAAGGUGAUUCUUUAUAUAUUUGGCUUGGAGUUUACUGGUAUGUCUAACCAGAGAAUUCGUAUCCGUCUUAAGUCUUUUGAUCAUCGUCUGAUUGAUCAAUCUGCUCAAGAGAUCGUAGAAACCGCUAAGCGUACCGGCGCACAAGUGUGUGGUCCAAUUCCGAUGCCUACUCGCAUCGAACGCUUCAACGUUCUUACUUCACCGCACGUUAACAAAGAUGCGCGUGACCAGUACGAAAUCCGCACCUACAAACGUUUGAUCGACAUCGUUCAACCUACAGAUAAAACUGUUGAUGCAUUGAUGAAGUUAGAUCUUGCAGCUGGUGUUGAUGUUCAGAUCGCUUUGGGUUAAGGCUUUCGGUUAAUUAACGAUUAGUUAAUUAGGCCGCUUUUUUAGAGGUUUAUGCACAUGGCUAUUGGUUUAGUCGGUCGCAAAUGUGGUAUGACUCGCAUCUUUACAGAUGCUGGUGUUUCUGUACCUGUUACAGUCAUCGAAGUCGAUCCAAACCGCAUUACGCAAAUCAAAACACUUGAAACUGAUGGUUAUCAAGCUGUUCAAGUAACUACUGGUGAACGUCGCGAGUCUCGCGUAACUAACGCUCAAAAAGGUCACUUCGCUAAAGCGGGUGUUGCUGCUGGUCGUUUAGUUAAAGAGUUUCGUGUUACUGAAGCUGAGCUUGAAGGCCGUGAAGUUGGCGGUACUAUUGGCGUUGAUUUGUUCACAGUUGGUCAAAUUGUUGACGUAACUGGUCAAUCAAAAGGUAAAGGUUUCCAAGGUGGUGUUAAACGUUGGAAUUUCCGUACCCAAGAUGCUACUCACGGUAACUCUGUUUCUCACCGUGUUUUAGGUUCUACAGGUCAAAACCAAACUCCUGGACGCGUGUUCAAAGGCAAAAAAAUGGCUGGUCACUUAGGUGAUGAACGCGUAACAGUACAAGGUCUUGAAAUCGUAUCUGUUGACACUGAACGUUCAGUUUUGGUUGUUAAGGGUGCAAUUCCUGGUGCAACUGGCGGUGACGUUAUCGUACGUCCUACCAUCAAGGCCUGAGGGGAAAUACCGUGAAUUUAAAAACUGUUUCCGGCUCUGCUGUUGAAUUGUCUGAAGUAGCUUUCGGACGUGAAUUUAACGAAGCUCUUGUACA
rnacentral:rRNA from 1 species